rnacentral:rRNA from 1 species
GGGUAAGCUCAAGUUUAAAACCUGUUUGUCCUAGACAAACCGGAUUGUAAACUAAGGACGUGCUAUCCAGGCUCUUUGGACCUUCAAGUCCUUUGGAAUAAGGCUUCACAGAGGGUGACAAUCCCGUAGAGGGUCUUGAAAGAGUCUAUUGCGAUGCAUGCUCCAAGAGUCAGGUUGUUUGGGAAUGCAGCCUAAAGUGGGAGGUAAAUCCCUCCUAAAGCUAAAUAUUGGCGAGAGACCGAUAGCAAACAAGUACCGUGAGGGAAAGUUGAAAAGGACUUUGAAAAGAGAGUCAAAAGUACGUGAAAUUGCUUAAAGGGAAGCGUUUGGAGCUAGUUUGGCUAGUCUGUUAUCAGCCUGAGCUUCGGCUUUGGUGUACUAUCAGGCUAUUUGCCGGCCAACUUUCAGGAUUGGAAGGAAAGCUUAGUGCUUUGGAGUCUAAAGAGACCUUUGCGGAAGCCUCUGGUGGGAGCGUUGGUCUGCCUUGGCCCUUCUGAACCCUAUAGUUGGCUUAAUGGCUCUAAACGGCCCG